rnacentral:rRNA from 1 species
AAAUUGAAGAGUUUGAUCAUGGCUCAGAUUGAACGCUGGCGGCAGGCCUAACACAUGCAAGUCGAACGGUAGCACAGAGAGCUUGCUCUCGGGUGACGAGUGGCGGACGGGUGAGUAAUGUCUGGGAAACUGCCCGAUGGAGGGGGAUAACUACUGGAAACGGUAGCUAAUACCGCAUAACGUCGCAAGACCAAAGUGGGGGACCUUCGGGCCUCACACCAUCGGAUGUGCCCAGAUGGGAUUAGCUAGUAGGUGGGGUA